rnacentral:ncRNA from 1 species
AAGCGUUGAAGCAUAAUAGCGUACCGGGAUGCCUUGUUAUGCAGAGCUUUCAGUAGGGGUUGUGCAGUAACCUCAAACCGGAGUAGGCUGCAAAGCCGAAGAAAAUGCUCAAA